UAGUCAUAUGCUUGUCUCAGAGAUUAAGCCAUGCAUGUCUAAGUAUAAGCGAUCUUAUACAGCGAAACUGCGAAUGGCUCAUUAAAUCAGUUAUAGUCUACUUGAUCGUAUCUUCUUACAUGGAUAACCGUAGUAAAUCUAGAGCUAAUACAUGCUAAAAAUCCUGGACGCGGCAACGCGGAAGGGACGAGUUUAUUAGAUUAAAAACCGACACCUCUCCGCGAGGGGAGGUAGCACAGGUGAUUCACAGUAACCGAUCGGAUCGUCGGCCCCGCCG
rnacentral:rRNA from 1 species